rnacentral:lncRNA from 1 species
AUGGAAACACAGCAUGGCUUCUCAAAUGUCAGCUUCUCAAACUCUCACUUGAAGUUGAUGAAGGAUCCUUCACUGAAGUAUGACCAUCUCUUCCACCUCUGUGAAAGACUGGCAGCAUUUAGCCCCUGCCCUAGAGAUUUGUGGAUCUUUGGACUUGAGAGAGACAACUUAGGGUAUCUGGUGGAAGAAAUUUUUAAGUGGCAAAGGAUUCAAGAUGUGACAUGGGUGCUGUUAAAGACAUUCUGUUUUAAAGGAGAAAUGGCAUAAAAGUUCAGAAAAUUUGUAGCCUGACAAAUCAAUGGAAAAGAAAAUCCCAUUCAAGCCAGCUGCAACAAUUUGCACAAGUAAUGAGGAGCCAAAUGUUGAUCCCCAAGAUCACAGAGAAAAUAUCUCCAGGGCAUGUCAGAGGUUUUCAUGGCAGCAUCUCCCAAUACAGGCUUAGAGGCCUAGAAGCUAGAAGAAAAAUAUGGUUUCAUGUGAAGGGCCCAAUGUCUCUGUGCUGUGUGCAGUUGGGGGACUUGGUGUCCUGCAUCCAAGCUGUUCCAGCUGUGACUAAAGGGGGCCAAGAUACAGCUUAGGCUGUGAGGAUUCAAGCCCCAAGCCUUGGCAGCUUCCAUGUGGUGUUGAGCCUGAAGGCAUACAGAAGUCAAGAACUGAAUUUGGGAAACCUCCACCUAGAUUUCAGAGGAUGUAUGGAAAUGCCUGGAUGUCCAGGCAGAAGUUUCCUGCAUGGGUGGGGAUCUCAUGGAUAACUUCUGCCAGGGCAGUGCAGAAGGGAAAUGUGAGAUCAGAACCCCCACACAGAGUCCUUACUGGGGUGCUGCCUAGUGGAACUGUGAGAAGAGGUCCACUACCAGAAUGGUAGGUCUACCUACAGCUUGCACUGUGCACCUGGAAAAGCCACAUAUACUCAACACCAGCCCGUGAAAGCAGCUGAGAGGGAGGCAGUACCCUGCAAAGACACAAGAGCAUAGCUGCCCAAGACCAUGGGAACCCACCUCUUGCAUCAGUGUGACCUGUAUGGGAGAUAUGGAGUGAAAGGAGAUAAUUUUGGAGCUUUAAGAUUAGACUGCCCCACUGGAUUUCAGACUUGCAUGGGCCAUGUAGCCACUUUGUUUUGGCCAAUUUCUCCCAUUUGGAAUGGCUAUAUUUACCCAAUACCUGUACCCCCAUUAUAUCUAGGAAGUAACUAACUUGCUCUUAAUUUUAAAGGCUUAUAAGCACAAGGGUCUUGCCUUAUCUCAGAUGAGACUUUGGACUGUGGACUUUUGAGUUAAUGCUGAACUGAGUUGAGACUUUGGGGGACUAUUGGGAAGGCAUAAUAGGUUCUGAAAUGUGAAGACAUGAGAUUUUGGAGGGGCCAGGGCGAAUGAUAUGGUUUGGCUGUGUCCCCACCCAAAUCUCAUCUUGACUUGUAACUCUCAUAUUUCCCAUGUGUCAUGGGAGGCACCUGGUGGGAGGUGAUUAAAUUAUGGGGGAGGAUCUUUCCUGCACUGUUCUUGUGAUAGUGAAUAAAUCUCACAAGAUCUGUUGGCUUUAAAUACAGGAGUUUUCCUGCACAAGCUCUCUUUUUGCCUGCUGCCAUCCAUGUAAGAUGUGACUUGCUCCUCCUUGCCUACCACCAUGAUUGUGAGGCCUCCCCGGCCAUGUGGAACUGUAAAUCCAUUAAACUUCUUUCUUUUGUAAAUUGCCCAUUCUUGAUUACGUCUUUAUCAGCAAUGUGAAAACUAACUGAUACACUUCCCCAUGUCUUCUUGCCAUUGAGUUACUGUACUGUUUUCUCAGAUGGAUCUGCUAUAGUCCUUGCUAACUUCACACCUUCAACAUGUCUGCUUCCCUCAUCACAAUGUUCUGUGAAUGACAAGGAGUAAAUCAAUGGCUCCACCAAUAGAGAUGUAUGCUAGCAGGUAGGAUCACCCCUGUGGAUGUUUCACAGGAUUUAGAUAGAUAUAAGAGAGUCAUUUGGGACUUUCCUCUCUAUCAAUUCCAAAACAGGCAAAGAAGAAAAAUAUUAGCAUAUUCAUGUCACCACAGCCAGAAUUCUGGCAGUAAAAUUAAGUAGAAAAUUGAGACCACGAAUUCAUAUAACUGUAAGCAAAAUAGGCUUUUUUUGUCAAGCCUUGUUUGGAGAGUUUCUGUGAAUAUUCCUUAAGCCUGAGGUUUACCUUCCUUAUUUUGAUUGUUGAUUUCUUCAUGUUAAAGAAAGACUUAAAAUAACUACAAACACUGGUCAAUAACUUAAAAAGUUUUGUUUUUUUCCCCCCAAAUUCUGGGACACUGGUUGAUCAAACUUUGGCCUAAGAUACUACAUUAGUUGCCUAGAGAAUAGCCCUUGUCUUUCUCCUCCUAGCCUUUUUCUUUCUCCUUCUCUUCCUUUUCUUUCUUUGUUUCCUCCUCUUCUUCCUCAUUUGCAUUCCUCCACCCUAAGUUUCCCCCUCAUCUUUCCAAAUCUUUUUGGUAACUGUCACCUUGUUUUUUUUUAACUUAGUUUUAUUUUAAGUUUGCAUAUGAUUUAAAGAAUUAAAUAGUUCCACGAAUUAUUUUAUGUAAAAACUGCAUUCUCUUCCUACCCAGUUUCCUUUACACUAUGAACAACCACUCUUAAAUCUUUAAGUUGAUUCUGUUUGAAUUUACUUCUAUAUCUCUAAGUAGCAUGUUAAUAUUGCCACUUGUUAAUUUUAUCAGUUUUAGGCAUUAUUAGUUUAUUUUUAUUAUGGACCAUUGUUUAGCGUUCACUCUCCAUGUUUUCAUCCAUUCCUACAUGCUUCAUGUUUAUUGAAAUUUUGAGUGAACUUCUGUAGCAUUUUGUAAAAAAUUGCUUGGUUUUUCAUUUCCAGUGUUACUUUUGAAAAGUUCAAUAUUAAUUUUGCUGUUUCUAUGAAAUCUGGUUUUGUUUUUGUUUUCUGUCAGCUGUUGUUAUCGUUGUUUUUUGUUGUUCCACUUCUAGAAGCUGAUGGUUUUUCAUCCCCAGUCUUCUGAAAUUUCACAAUCACAUGUUAUCAGGAGAAACCCACCCCUGAUAUUCAACGUGAGUUCUUUUUUAUUUCUCUAAGCGUCGGCUGGUCUGAGAAAUAAACGGAAAGAAUACAAAGAAAUUUUAAAGCUGGGUGUCCAGGGGAGACAUCACAUGUCGGGAGGUCCAUGAUGCUCCCUGAGCCGUAAAACCAGAAAGUUUUUAUUAGUGAUUUUCAAAAGAGGAGGGAGUGUAUGAAUAGGGUAUGGGUCACAGAGCUCAUAUGCUUCACCCAGUAAUAAAAUAUCACAAAACAAAUGGAGGCAGGGCAAGAUCACAGGACCACAGGAUGGGGUGAAGUUAAAAUUGCUAAUGAAGUUUCGGGCAUGCAUUGUCAUUGAUAACAUCUUAUCAGGAGACAGGUUUGAGAGCAGACAACCAGUCUCGACAAAAUUUAUUAGGUGGGAAUUUCCUCAUCCUAAUAAGCCUGGGAGGGCUAUAGGAGACCUGGGCUUAUUUCAUCCCUUUGUCUAUGACUGUAAAAGACAGCCACCCCUAAAGCGGCGAUUUUAGAGGCCUCCCUUCAGAGACGCAUUCUCUUUCUCAGGGAUGUUCCUUGCUGAGAAAAAGAAUUCAGCGACAUUUCUCCUAUUUGCUUUUGAAAGAAGAGAAAUAUGGUGCUAUUCUGCCCGGCUCACCGGCAGUGAGAGUUUAAGGUUAUCUCCCUUGUUCCCUGAACAUUCCUGUUAUCCUGUUCUUUUUUCAAGGUGCCCAGAUUUCAUAUUGUUCAAAUACACAUGCUCUACAAACAAUUUGUGCAGUUAAUGCAAUCAUCACAGGGUCCUGAGGUGGCAUACAUCUUCCUCAGUUUACAAAUAUGAUGGGAUUAAGAGAUUAAAGACAGGCAUAGGAAAUCAUAAGGGUAUUGAUUGGGGAAGUGAUAAGUGUCCAUAAAGUCUUCACAAUCUAUGUUCAGAGACUGCAGUAAAGACAGGUGUAAGAAAUUGUAAAAGUAUUAAUUUGGGGAACUAAUAAAUGUCCAUGAAAUCUUCACAAUUUACGUUCUUCUGCCAUGGCUUCAGCCAGUCCCUCCGUUCGGGGUCCCUGACUUCCUGCAACAACAUGUCUUGGUGUUGAUUAUUUCAUUCGUGGUGCUAAACUCUCUAUGUUAUAUUUCAAAAGGAAAUGAUAUAUUCUCAGUUCUAUAAUUUAUUUUUGAUUUAUUUCUUUCAUGAUUUUCUUCUUUGUUGUUUUUUACACUAUGCUAUUUAUGCUGUUUUCUUUCUGUUCCCACUUUCUAGAACUCUUACUAUUUUGAUAUUGCAACUCCUAGACUUUCUAAUUUUAAUACAUUUUAUUUUUACAUCUCUUAGCCCUUUUGCUCUAUAUCUUAAUACAUGCCCUAAAUUUUAACUUAUGUCUUAGUUUACAUUUUAUUUUCUUCUAUAUACUUUUUAAUUUUUAAGAGAUGUUUUUUCCUCCAAACACUCAUUUUUUAUAGCAUCCUAUUCUGGCCUAGUGGAUGUAAUAUAAUUUUUAUGUCUCUGGAGAGGUUAGAGCUAGUCAUUUUGAAGGUAUUUUUCUCAUCAUCUAGUAUUUUCUCCAAGUUACCUUUUUACUCUGUUUUUAGUGUUUGUUUUGGCCUCUGUAUUUCAUGUCAAGUGCACUCCUUAAAUAUCAGGUUACCCUUGAAAGAAUUGAAGAUUCUUUCUUUCAAUUUCUUGCCUGGCUGCUAAUUUUCCAGGGGCUAAGUGAGAAAAAAACUUUGGGAACUCAAUAAUACAUGUAUUUUGCUUACUUCUUUUCUUUAUGGACUCCAAUCUUCUGCUUGGCCUGCUUUCCCCUAGUCUAGAAACCCUUAGUUUGACCCAAUCCAGAAACUUAGAACCUUAACCCCUUUCUGGAUAGAGCAGAAGCAUUAUAUUCCUGCAAGAAUAGGGUAUGGGAAGGUCUACUGCACCUUACAAAGAUUUCUUAAUCAGCCAUUUACAGUCCUACCUUUUUCCCACUUCCAAGGAUAACUAUUAAAGUAAUUCUGGAGUCUUUUGUAGGUUCCAUGGUAUAAAUAUGACUGUUUCUCUGUUUUGCUCACUGUUGCCUUAGGGUUCAGUCUUCUUGAGUGGACCAGGUUAGUCAUCCUUCCUACUUCAGCUUUCCAGCUUUUACAUUUUUUUGCCAUUGUUAUCUCCUUCCAUCUCUUUGGCCUUGUUAUCGUUUAUCUAUAAACGUUUUUUCCAGUUGUCUUUAAUAGUAUUUAAGGAAGGAGUAGAAUACAAUAUAUAUAUCCAA